rnacentral:rRNA from 1 species
GACGAACGCUGGCGGCGUGCUUAACACAUGCAAGUAGAACGGAAAGGACCUGCUUUUGUGGGGUGCUCGAGUGGCGAAAGGGUGAGUAACACGUGAGUAACCUGCCCUUGACUUUGGGAUAACACCAGGAAACUGGGGCUAAUAUCGGAUAGGAGCUCCUGCUGCAUGGUGGGGGUUGGAAAGUUUCGGCGGUUGGGGAUGGACACGCGGCCUAUCAGCUUGUUGGUGGGGUAGUGGCUUACCAAGGCAUUGACGGGUAGCCGGCCUGAGAGGGUGACCGGCCACAGUGGGACUGAGAUACGGGCCAUACUCCUACGGGAGGCAUCAGUGGGGAAUAGUGCACAAUGGGCGGAAGCCGGAUGCAGCAACGCCGCGUGCGGGAUGACGGCCGUCGGGUUGUAACCCGCGUUCGCCUGUGACGAAGCGUGAGUGACGGUAAUUUGUAAAGAAGCACCGGCUAACUACGUG